rnacentral:tRNA from 1 species
GGAGAGGGUAUAGCUCAGUGGUAGAGUGUGUGCUUAGCAUGCACAGGGUCCUGGGUUCAAUCCCCAGUGCCUCCA